GACGAACGCUGGCGGCGUGCCUAAUACAUGCAAGUCGAACGCUGAAGCUUGGUGCUUGCCCCGAGCGGAUGAGUUGCGAACGGGUGAGUAACGCGUAGGUAACCUGCCUGGUAGCGGGGGAUAACUAUUGGAAACGAUAGCUAAUACCGCAUAAGAGUAGAUGUUGCAUGACAUUUGCUUAAAAGGUGCAAUUGCAUCACUACCAGAUGGACCUGCGUUGUAUUAGCUAGUUGGUGAGGUAACGGCUCACCAAGGCAACGAUACAUAGCCGACCUGAGAGGGUGAUCGGCCACACUGGGACUGAGACACGGCCCAGACUCCUACGGGAGGCAGCAGUAGGGAAUCUUCGGCAAUGGACGGAAGUCUGACCGAGCAACGCCGCGGGAGUGAAGAAGGGUUUCGGAUCGUAAAGCUCUGUUGUAAGAGAAGAACGAGUGUGAGAGUGGAAAGUUCACACUGUGACGGUAGCUGACCAGAAAGGGACGGCUAACUACGUG
rnacentral:rRNA from 1 species